rnacentral:rRNA from 1 species
AGUGAACGCUGGCGGUAGGCCUAACACAUGCAAGUCGAACGGCAGCACAGUAAGAGCUUGCUCUUACGGGUGGCGAGUGGCGGACGGGAGAGGAAUACAUCGUAAUCUACUUUUUCGUGGGGGCGAACGUAGGGAAACCUACGAUAAUAUCGCAUACGACCCACGGUUGAAAGCAGGGGAUCUUCGGACCUUUCGCGGUUGAAUGAGCCGAUGUCGGAUUAGCUAGUUGGCGGGGUAAAGGCCCACCAAGGCGACGAUCCGUAGCUGGUCUGAGAGGAUGGUUAGCCGCCCUGGGACUGAGACCCGGUCCACACUCCUACGGGCGGGGGCAGUGCGCAAUCUUGGGCAAUGGGCGGAAGCCUGUUCCCGCCAUGCCGCGUGGGUGAGGAAGGCCCCCGGGUUGUAAAGCCCGUUUGUUGGGUAAGAAAAGCAGCAGGUUAAUACCGUGCUGUUCUGACGGUACCCAGAGGAUGAGCCCCGGCUAACUUCGUG